GACGAACGCUGGCGGCGUGCUUAACACAUGCAAGUCGAACGGAAAGGCCCUGCUUUUGUGGGGUGCUCGAGUGGCGAACGGGUGAGUAACACGUGAGUAACCUGCCCUUGACUUUGGGAUAACUUCAGGAAACUGGGGCUAAUACCGGAUAGGAGCUCCUGCUGCAUGGUGGGGGUUGGAAAGUUUCGGCGGUUGGGGAUGGACUCGCGGCUUAUCAGCUUGUUGGUGGGGUAGUGGCUUACCAAGGCUUUGACGGGUAGCCGGCCUGAGAGGGUUACCGGCCACAAUGCGACUGAGAGACGGACCAGUAUCCUAUGGGACGCAGCAGUGGGGAAUAUUGCACAAUGGGCGGAAGCCUGAUGCAGCAACGCCGCGUGCGGGAUGACGGCCUUCGGGUUGUAAACCGCUUUCGCCGGUGACGAAGCGUGAGUGACGGUAAUGGGUAAAGAAGCACCGGCUAACUACGUG
rnacentral:rRNA from 1 species